rnacentral:lncRNA from 1 species
ACUCAAAAACUGUAAUAGCUCUCCAGUUAGGUAUGUUGCAAGCUCUAAUAUAUUCUACUAUAUUAACACAGUCAGAUUUCAAUUUUUUAUAAAAAAGUGCUGGUGGAAGUUGUCAGAUAUAUUCCAGUGUAGAUCUCACAUUCAAUGGUUAGGAAAUAAGAGAGCAGCAGAGAUGGAAGAUAAAUCUUUUAAAAUUCUGCUGAGAGCUAGGCGCUGUGGCUCAUGCCUGUAAUCUCAACACUUUGGGAGGCCAAGGUGGGUGGAUCACCUGAGGUCAGGAGUUUGAGACCAGCCUGGACAACAUGGUGAAACCUCGUUUCUACCAAAAAUACAGAAUUAGCCAGGUGUGGUGGUGUGUGUCUAUAGUCCCAGCUAUUUGGGAGGCUGAGACAGGAGAAUCGCUUGAGCCCAGGAGGCAGAGGUUGCAGUGAGCCAAGAUCAUGCCAUUGCACUCCAGCCUGGGCAACAAGAAUGAAACUCCAUCUCAAAAAAAAAAAAUUGUGCUGAGAAUAUACCCCCUUUAUUCAAUAAUGCUCAUGUUUCUCUUGCUGAGAGUAGCUAUGCACUUUGGGUGUUUGGAGAGAAAUUCUUCUUAGGGAAAUAUUUUCUGGCUGACUUGAUCAAUCUUAUAUCUAAUCUCAGUUUUUUCUUAAGACACUUUUAACUUUUUUCUCUCAAUAUAAUCUUUCUCAGAAUAAGAGCUGUUUUUCUCUCUAAUGCAUUGUGUAUCUGUUUCAGAAGCCCUAUUAGUAUUCCGUGGUGUCUGUGAAAGACGUGGGCUGUCACAGUGAGAACUCUCAGAGCUAUCUCUAUCUGGACUCAUGCUAAAAUCCAGCAGUAUUUUUUUCAUGCCGCCAUUAUAAAUAAAAACUGAGGCUGAAACAGUGCUCCCUUUUCUAUUAUUGUGAAGGUGCAAUUCUACCCAGGAGGCCUGCAGGCUCUCCUCCUGCUGCUCAGGCUUCACUGUCUGAUGUGGCACUGGAGUGCUGCUGUGGCAAAUGGGGUUCACCUAAGAUGUGAGUUUCCAGCUGUGAGCCCUGUGCUGUGGGCUGUGCCUCAGUGGCAGAUGGUGGGGUCAAGAGAGUACACUAGCCACCAAGAGAGGGAAAGCAGGAGUGUUCUAGCCCAGUGCUCAGAGAGUAGAGAGCUAUUGCUUUAAAAUGUAAAUAGCCAAAAAGAUAGCACCCGAAUCAACACUUUUUGUAGAAGAGUCAAAGCCUACCUUCAGCAGGCCCUGGGGUUCAAGUUGCAAAACUACCUCUAGUCAUGAAGAUGUGAAAGCUUUACUUUGUCAUUGAUUAUAACCAGUUAGCAUACAGGGAUGGCCUUCCCAGCUACCAGAUGAAUUCAGGAUGAACUAUGUAUGACAUGGUGCUGUAAAUUCUACUUGUAGAUGAAUUAUGGUGACUGUCUUUCUGUCUUUGCAAUCUCUUGAGCAAAUUGACUGUAAUGCAUGUCACAUUCACAUGUAAUUGUGUAAUAAAACAGUUUUCUUUCUGUUCUGUUAUUAUUUAAUUCCUCUGGGGCUGAAGAAAAUUUUGCUUCUAACUGUAUUUUCCAAACCUUGUCUAGAAUUACCAGACAUAAUAUAAACACAUAGGGUACCAACUAAGCUUUACUAUAGAUGGGCCUUUUCCACUCAGGCUUCCAGUCCAUUCACAAUUGUGCUGCGAAGUGCAUGCUGUACCCUAAAUAUGCAGGUGGAAUUGUGUCUCUGCCUACUUGGUAUCUAUCAUCCUCUGCAGUCACUUUUAGAGAGGC